rnacentral:piRNA from 1 species
UUAUGGAAAUGACUGUUGGCAACAAUG